rnacentral:rRNA from 1 species
AGGGCGUUGAAGCAUGAUCGUAAGGACAUGUGGAGCGCUUAGAAGUGAGAAUGCCGGUGUGAGUAGCGAAAGACGGGUGAGAAUCCCGUCCACCGAUUGACUAAGGUUUCCAGAGGAAGGCUCGUCCGCUCUGGGUUAGUCGGGUCCUAAGCUGAGGCCGACAGGCGUAGGCGAUGGAUAACAGGUUGAUAUUCCUGUACCACCUAUAAUCGUUUUAAUCGAUGGGGGGACGCAGUAGGAUAGGCGAAGCGUGCGAUUGGAUUGCACGUCUAAGCAGUAAGGCUGAGUAUUAGGCAAAUCCGGUACUCGUUAAGGCUGAGCUGUGAUGGGGAGAAGACAUUGUGUCUUCGAGUCGUUGAUUUCACACUGCCGAGAAAAGCCUCUAGAUAGAAAAUAGGUGCCCGUACCGCAAACCGACACAGGUAGUCAAGAUGAGAAUUCUAAGGUGAGCGAGCGAACUCUCGUUAAGGAACUCGGCAAAAUGACCCCGUAACUUCGGGAGAAGGGGUGCUCUUUAGGGUUAACGCCCAGAAGAGCCGCAGUGAAUAGGCCCAAGCGACUGUUUAUCAAAAACACAGGUCUCUGCUAAACCGUAAGGUGAUGUAUAGGGGCUGACGCCUGCCCGGUGCUGGAAG